AUUGAACGCUGGCGGCAGGCCUAACACAUGCAAGUCGAGCGAGUGGCGGACGGGUGAGUAAUGUCUGGGGAAAUGCCCGAUGGAGGGGGAUAACUCCUGUGAAAGGUGGCUCAUACCGCAUACCCUAAGAUGUGCCCAGAUGGGGUUAGCUCGUGGGUGGGGUAACGGCUCACCUAGGCGACGAUCCCUAGCUGGUCUGAGAGGAUGACCAGCCCCACUGGAAGUGAGACACGGUCCAGACUCCUACGGGAGGCAGCAGUGGGGAAUAUUGCACAAUGGGCGCAAGCCUGAUGCAGCCAUGCCGCGUGUGUGAAGAAGGCCUUAGGGUUGUAAAGCACGUUCAGCGGGGAGGCGUUACCCGCAGAAGAAGCACCGGCUAACUCCGUGCCAGCAGCCGCGGUAAUUC
rnacentral:rRNA from 1 species